UUCCUUUCUCCUGUUCAUUGUCCAUUUAUCUCUUGUCAUAGUUUUUCAUGAAUCCUGUUCCGACCAUGUUCAAGUCAGUUUUUAUGUUUUAGUUUUUCCCCGUUUAGGUUUCAGGUUAGUUUUUUUCCAGUUUGCAUUGCUUUGUUUUUGUUUCGACAUCAGCCCAGAUAUAAACGGCUCGCUUUUUGUUAUACCGCAUUUUUCUUUUGUGUCCGCAUUUUUGGUCCACACCUCAAACACACCGGCCCACCCCCCGUGACAGUUUUUAAGACUACAUGAAUGACUGACAACUUACAAGAGCUGACUGAUGAUCGGUGCUUUCAAGUUGGUGUUAAAUGACCUAUUCUCUCUUCAAGAACUGAUGAACCCAUUCAUUUAUAUGUAAAGGGCAGAGCAGGAGCCCCAUGUUCAUUCAGACGCUUGUAUUUGGAUGAAGAGAGUUGCAGAACACCCAAGGGCUGUGAACUCUAUUGCACAAAAUAUUUUGUGUCUACUUUUUUGUACAGAACAGCGAAGCAAAAUUGAACCUUAGCUAUCAGCAUCAUCCACUAAUGCAGGAGUUAUAUUGUUCCUUUAAAAAUAAAGUAAAACACAGUACUAGUUUUAUAAAAGAUACAAGAUAAACAAAAAAGCCCUCAUGGGGAAGCUGUCUGGACAACCUGGCAUUAUCUUUGACUUUUAAAACCAAUAAUCUGCUCCACAAUCUGUCACAUUAGACAGUAUCACUUCUUUGUUUCCAUGUAGCUGUCUAGGUGCUUUACUUCUGUGUCACACAUUUCCAGGAGCUUUGGAUUUCAAGUAAUUUCUACCAGGCAGCAUGGUCAUAAAUCUAAGCUUCUGACAUGUUCAUAAUGUAAGUUUGUGACGAUAUCGUGUCUCAGGAUGUAUUGA